GUGCCAGCAGCCGCGGUAAGACGAAGGGGGCUAGCGUUGUUCGGAAUUACUGGGCGUAAAGGGCGCGUAGGCGGUCUUGUCAGUCAGGCGUGAAAGCCCUGGGCUCAACCUGGGAGGUGCGCUUGAUACUGCAAGGCUUGAGUGCAGGAGAGGAUGGUGGAAUUCCCAGUGUAGAGGUGAAAUUCGUAGAUAUUGGGAAGAACACCGGUGGCGAAGGCGGCCAUCUGGACUGCAACUGACGCUGAGGCGCGAAAGCGUGGGGAGCAAACAGGAUUAGAUACCCUGGUAGUCC
rnacentral:rRNA from 1 species